UAACCGCGUAGAGUUGUACGGUGAUGUACCUUCUGAUGUAAUAAAUGUGUAUCAGCCUCCUGGGACUGAUAUUUGUAUCACAUUUUAGUCACCUAUUAUGAGGGGACGCUUCACCGCGCCCCCGAGCCGUCGCCUGACCGCCGCCGUGGCGGCCCGUGUCCGCCCCUCCACUCCGCCUCGGAACCGCCCCUCCCCGAGUCCGCCCCCAUCGGCUCGGCCCGGUGUUCGCGCGGCGCGGCCACCACGGCAUGUCGCCACCAGUGCUGCCGUCGGCGCACGGUGCCACCCGGCCGAGGAGGAGCAGGCGGAGAGAGAGAGAGAGAGAGAGAUAGAGAGGAUGAGGAGGUGGAGGAGGGCCGCGUGCGCCGGCAUCCAAGGAGGACGACACUGCGCUGGUCGAGGGAGGAGUAGGUCACCACGUGCCGGCGUCUGAGGAGGAGGGCACCGCAGCGGUGGAGGGAGUAGGAGGAGGAACCCCCGCUUCCCACCGGCUCGCGUCACACGCCGCCGUCCGUGCUCUGCGUGCACCCGCGCUUCUGGAAUCGGUCACCACCACCUGGUUCCCGCCGCCUUCCUCCGUCACUGGGCCCCAGCCGCCAUCGACAUCGACUCGUCAGUUUGCAGGACAGCAAGGUGAGAGGCAUAUUAUUCGACCCUCAAUCCGUAUCAUAUUCGUAGAUCUCAACACUUAGUUAGACAUCUCCCGUUCGAAAGAGAUACGGUUGGAAAUAUGCAUAUUUUUACAUAUGUAUGAUCGUAUCUGUUUCAAAUUGUCCACGUUUUAUGUAGAUGGGUUUAGUUUGCAUGUUCUGCUCCGAUCUGAGACAGAGUUUCGGCAUCGCCUCCCUGUUGUUCUCCGAAUACACAAUCUCCAUGUCAGGACGUGUAUUCGGAGAAGAACGGGGAGGUGCUGUCAAAAUUUGUCUCGGAUAGGAGUAGAACAUGAAAACUAACCCCAUCUACAGAUACUCGGGUGGGAUUAGGACCUAUCUUCACCUAUUAGAGCAUGAUAGAUAUCAUGUACAUGCAAUUGAUUUAUAUGUCUUGGUAAUAUAUUAAAGAUAGGAUGGAUGUCCGUGACUAGAUGUACACAGGCUAGUUCGGUAAACGUGGCUGGACAGAUGAAUUCGUUCAGAAGGUUGAAGAUUUUCUGAAAAAAAGCUUUUGGGCAAGAACAGAGUAAAGCUCCGUGUCCAUGCCAUCAGUGUGCAAACAAGAUAUUUCAAUCACAGUUCAAUAUGGGUAAACACAUUUGCACCAAUGGGUUUGUGGCAAACUAUACCCAGUGGAUCUGUCACGGUGAAGCCCAUCGUGCGAGAGACGAGGUCGUGAGAUAACGUAUCGAGAAUUAUGAUGCUGAUGCUGGGUGUGGAGACAUGUUAGAUGAUUUUCAUCAAGCUCAGUUCAAUGAAGGACCUAGCCAGGUUAGGGAGGAUCCACCAGAGGCAACUGCAAAGGCCUAUUACGAUAUGUUGUCUUCGGCACAAAAACCAUUUCACGGUCAUACUGAUGUUUCUCAACUAGAUGCCAUCGGACGUAUAAUGGCCCUAAAGUCUCAGCUUGGCAUCAAUCGAGAUGGGUUUGAUGAUAUGUUGACAAUUUUUAGCAGCCUGCUUCCGGCUUGUCACAAUUUGCCACGCAACUUGUAUGAGGCACAAAAACUACUUCGUGCACUUAAGAUGCCUUACGAGCAGAUACAUGCUUGUCCGAAUGGAUGCAUCUUGUUUAGGAAAGACCAAGCUGAUGCAAAGUACUGCCCUAAAUGUAAAUCCUCUAGGUACCUGGAGGUCUACUCAAGUGAUGGUCAAAAGAGGCAACUCGAAAUCCCCAUGAAAAUCCUACGGUACCUUCCAUUCAUACCGAGGAUCCAACGGCUUUACAUGACUGAGGAAUCCGCUAAACAGAUGACAUGGCACAAAGAAGGCAAACAAUAGCAUCCGGAGAACAUGGUACAUCUAGCCGAUGCUGAAGCAUGGAAGUAUUUUGACGGGCGUCAUAGUGAGAAAGCUGGGGAGUCUCAUAAUGUACGUGUUGCAUUGGCAAUAGAUGGGUUCAAUCCUUAUGGAAUGACGGCUGCCCCCACUAUAACAAAACAGCCAUGGAGAUACGUUUUAUUCAUAGCCUAGAUGCGUUUUAUUUCAUCUUUAAUGUAGUGUAGAUGCGCUUUGCUAAAACGUGUCUAGAGCGUUGCCACACGGACCGUGUCAAGAAACGUAGAUACGUUUUGCUAAGCGUAUCAAAAAGACAUGACAUGCUUUUCUAGAGACGGUGAAUGACGUUUCGAUUCAGGGGAUGUAGAUACGCUUUAUUUUUUUCUCCCUUUUUUAGUCUUGUGCUUUUCUUUUUCGUUUUCCUUUUGAUCAUAUUAGUUUAUAAAGUCAUGUAGGACAUUCCUUUGCCAUAUUUUUUUCCUCAUUUAUGCAGAAUCAUAUUUCACUUUAAUUUGGUCAUAAAGUACAUGCUAGGGAAACCACGUCUGGCCUGAGCAAGUAUUCAUUUAAUAUUAAAGCUCCUCUCAACAAACCAAUCGAUCAUCCAUAUACAAUAUGAUGAUCUCACAUAUAUACUGCCCUAAAAUUUAUAGAUUUAGAAUCUAUCAAAAACAUUUCAUGUAUGCAGAUACUUGUAUUUCACUUCUCCACAUUGCUUCAUUCGGCAGAUUUUCUGUAUGGACUUUCGUGAUCCUGGAGAUUAAAUAAAUAAAUUCAUUGUUAUAUGGUAUGAAAAUGUGAGCACAGAUUUAAAAUGAUGUAACUACAAAAAUAUCCAAUUGGAGAUAAAAGUAAAGUUAUUUUCCUCUUAAAUAAUCAUGAAAAAACUUAGCAAGGAAUCAACGUGUGAACAAAAUUCUGUCAAGUCUUAUUCAGAAAAAUCAUCAUUAUUUAUACUAGGACAAGUGUAGUUAAUUUGUACUACCAGACUAUUAUCUUUCAAGGUCAAAUAUUCUAUGACAUCACUAUUGACGAAAAAGGCUUCUCUGUAAAAACCUAUAUUGAGAAAUCACAUAGUAAUCUACAUGAUGAUUAUAGAUACCACAGUAGUACAAAACUGUAAUGCUGAAAGAUAUAUGACUUUUUUAUGCGCAGAACAUAUCUACACGGCUAAUCUAUUGUAGUGCCCAUAUACUUGUUGGCCCGUGUUCGUUAUCCCCCUCAAUCCCCCCCUGGAGUCAUGUUUCAACGACAGAAUAUAUUCUUGUCGUUGAUAAUUCCUGGAUACUCGGGGGAUAAUAUGUGUGUGUAUAUGGAGCCUCUGGUUGAUGAUUUGUUCCGUGCUUGGGAGAAAGGUGUAUGGACAUACGAUCGAGCUAUAAAGACAAACUUCAAUAUGCGAAUGUGGUACAUGUACUCCCUGCAUGACUUGCCGGCAUACGGGCUAUUCUACGGCUGGUGUGUCCACAGAAAGUUUCCAUGCCCAGUAUGCAAGGCAACUCUCAAGUUCUUAUGGUUGGCGAAGGGUGGCAAGUAUUCUUCGUUUGAUUUGCAUCGACAAUUUCUCCCUAUUGACCAUCCAUUGAGACGAGACAUCAGAAACUUUACAAAAGGUCUCGUGGUUGAAGACCCUCCACCCCAGAUGUUAACUAGUGCUGCGAUUCGUGCGCAGUUAGAUGCGCUCAGGGUAAAGAAAGAAGGUGGCUUUGAGUGAUAUGGUGUGGAACAUGCCUGGACUUAGAAGUCAGGUUUGUGGUCCCUAUAUGGAUGAUCUUUUGCUUCCACACAAUAUUGAUAUGAUGUACACGGAAAAAAAUAUCGGUGAGGCACUCUUUGGUACAGUAAUGAAUAUUUCUGAUAAGACAAAGGAUAACGUUAAGGCUAGAGUGGAUCAAGCUAGGUUAUGCAAUAGACCAAAACUCAACAUUCCGCCUCCCAAAGACGGGAAGAAAUGGAAAAAGCCUCUAGCCGAAUUCAUCCUGAAGAAGCACCAGACAAAGGAAGUACUAGAAUGGUUUCAAACUUUAAUGUUUCCCGAUGGGUAUGCAGCGAAUUUGAGGAGGGAGGUGAACUUAACUACAAUGCGAAUCAAUGGGCUCAAGAGUCAUGACUACCAUAUAUGGAUUGAGCGGCUUCUUCCGGUGAUGGUUCGAGGCUAUUUCCCUGACAAUGUGUGGCGAGUGCUGGUAGAGUUAAGCAAUUUCUUCCGCAUCCUUUGUGCUAAGGAGUUAUCUCGUACUGUAGUUGCAGAAAUGGAACAAUUGGCUCAUGUAUUGCUUUGUAAAUUGGAGAAGAUCUUUCCACUAGGCUUUUUCAAUCCCAUGCAGCAUAUGAUUUUGCACCUUCCGUAUGAGGCACGAAUGGGGGGGGGCUGUGCAGGGCCGUUGGUGCUAUGCAAUUGAGAGACAACAAAAGGUUCUUUGAACCAAAUGUAAAAACAAAUGCAAAAUUGAUGCUUCCAUUGCUGAGGCGUAUUGUGUUGAGGACAUGUCAAACUUCACAACAAAAUACUAUGCAGAGGCCCUGCCUAACGUGCAUAAUCCAUGCCGUUGUUACAAUGCCGACGAAAAUGAAUUGAACCUCAGCCUCUUCAGAGGGCAACUCGGAAGUGCAAGUGGUGCGACUCCUAAGACCUUGCAACAUUAAGAGUUGCGCACUAUCAUGAUGUAUGUGUUGACCAAUCUUUCCGAAAUGGAGCCAUACAUUAAGUAAGUUCUCAACAAACUAUUCUCGAUUAUUUGUAGCGUAUCAUCAAUAUUCUGCAUCCAACCCUCUCGAUUUUGUUCUCGUUCGUACAUAGAAUUUACUCAUCAAUUCUGGCGGGGGAAAAGGGCAGCGACCCCGCAGCAAGUUGAUACCCUUCUUAAAAAGGGUGUAGGACGUGGAUCGCCUGAUUACAUUUCUUGGUUCAAGCAAAAGGGUCAAAACGAUGUGUAUAUGAUUCCCGAGUUGAUGCAGUUGCCGAUGGUUGUGCCUAUAAGGUCAUGUCAUACUCCGGCUAUGACGUCAAUGGAUUUCGCUUUCACACCAAAAGGCACGAGCAGAGCCGGCCCGAUCGAAGAACCAUAAAUUCCGGAGUUUGUACGACAGCUCAUGAUGGGGUCGAGUAUUAUGGAAGAAUUGAAGAAAUAUACGAACUAACGUUUCAUGGUUGCAAACCUCUUAUACCCGUCAUAUUCAAAUGCUAUUGGUUUGAUCCCAAUGAAGUGCGAAGGACCCCUAAUCUUGGACUAGUCAAAAUUCAGCAGUCAUCCGUCUAUCCAGGAGAUGAUGUAUAUAUUGUGUCACAACAAGCCACACAAGUUUAUUAUCUCUCAUACCCGUGCAAAACCGAUGUACGUCUUAGGGGUUGGGACGUCGUGUACCAGGUAUCACCACACGGUAAACUACAUGUCCCAAACAAUGAAGAUUACAACAUAGACCCCAAUACAUAUGAUGACGAAUUCUUUCAAGAAGAUGGGUUAUAAGGGCGUUUUGAGAUAGACUUAACUGGAUUGAUCGGAAUGGAAGUAGACGAUGAUGAAAUGGUUGAGGAUGAGGACGCUGGAGAUGAGGUUUAUAAUGCGAAAGACUUAGAAUUACUUGAGCAAUUACAAUUAGGGGUUGACACUGACAUUGCACCUAUGGACCACGGGCCAGAGUAUCUCGACAGUGGCCCGCCCUUACGCUCACGGCUAUCCGCGGUAGAGCUCCGAGUACAGGAACUUGAGGCCCAGAUGGCGACGCAAUCAGUAGCACACGAGGCGGCGAUAGCUGAGGAGAGACGGAUACGCGAGGAGGAGGCGAGGAGUGCGCAGGCCGAGGAUCAGCAGCAGAUGGCCCAGAUGUACUCUUUCAUUCAUGGUCUUUCGGUUCAGAUGGGUCAACAACUACCACCGAUGGCCCGCUGAUUGCGGCUCCAGCACCGACAACUCCUCCUGUGUGCCACUUCACAACCUUGUUACUUUCAUUUCAACUAUUAGAGACCUAGAGAAUGUA